CCUCCCGAGGUCAAAGUGUCGCCGCUUGGUCCUGGGGGCUCAGCUCUAGAAAUGAGGUGACAUUAGGCAGCAGCGGCAAAUCCCAUGGAAAUGAAAAGAGAAUCAGCGAGUCUUUCACGGUACAGUCGUUCACAGUGUACUUGUGGACAAGGUAGGUGUAAGUGAGCUGGAUGGAGCUGUUCGUCAUGUUCUGAACUGGGCACCGCAGAACCUUGAUGCCAUUCUUCCAACCGUAAACAACAUACCAGCGGGGCUGUGCUCCUCUCUGUCUUGCUGUUGGAG